ensembl:lncRNA
CAAGAAUCCAGUCGGUACAUUGAUGACAUCUCUGUCAAUAGUACUGAGUACAAGCGCCCAGCUUUGGAUACAGCUCUGUCUGUGGGCUCCAGCAUGCUGUGAGAGUCUGUGUAUGUGUGUAUGUUCUGUUCUGUUCAUGCUGUUCUGUUCAUCAGUACAUCAUCUCUUCUCCUCAGAGCAACUGUCAAUGGUGAAAUGGUGUGUGGGUGUCCGACACAGUAAUGGGUCAAUCACUCCGAAAAUAAGACUUUUUCUUCUGACUGAGCACGGAAGAGCUCUGUUCUCACCUAAUGUUGUGAAGCCUCCCCUGGUAGUCGCACCCCUAGUCCAAACAGUAGUCCCUGUUAUCUGGGGCCCCUGUGUUGCCUGGUACUGCAGGACCUUGGAGGACCCUCCACCCUCUCUGAACAGAGCAGCUCCCCAGCGUAGAGGCUACAUUGGCUGGCUUAUCUCGUCGCCUUUUGGUCCCGAAAGGCCUGUGCCCCGUUCUUCUGUGUCUAAUCUACAGCCACCGCUCCUACUGGUUCAGCAGCACUGGCACACUGGAAAUUAAGCAUGCAAAGAGCAAUCCCAGAACUGAUAUUCACAGACAUUUCAGAGCGGAAAUCCAGUCUCUGAGUCUGUUAUUCGCUAGUGUAUUAUUUAUACUGUAUAAAACAAAGAACAAUUCACUUCAACGGGAUAUAGUGAAGACAUAACCAAUAGCAGCAGGAUGUAUUGUCUUCUCAUCACCGGAUUUAUGUUUGAUAUGAGAGAAUGAGUGAGAGGUCUGAACAGCCAUCCUUAGAGAGUAGAUGAGGAAAUGACCUCAUGCAGUAUGUGCGGAGGCGCUCCCCUAAUCAGUGGCUCAUUUCUGCUCUCUGCCCCCAGGCAGAUCUCUCUAACACGUACUUCAGUUUAGAUACUGGAUAUCCAAUGUUCCUGUUCGUGUUUUUUGGGGCCAAGCGCAGAAGGUUCACCAGAGGUGCAUAGCCCCUGUUGUUUUUGUAAGAGAAAUGCUUCCCCUGCAAUGGCAGUCUAUGGCAACCCAUUUGGAGGAAGGUUGUCAAAUUUGGCACGCUGAUUGAGAGGGGUCUUUCCCAGUCAAACCCUCUGGCCAUCAGCUUAAAAUGAUUUGUUAUGACCUUUAAACCCUUUGGUUUAGAAAACUGUUCCUUCUUCAUCUGCUUUUGCUAAUCAUCUUCAGUUAGUGUUUCUGAGUUCCACUAUCUUUGUCAUUUGAAAUUAUUAUUAUACUACAGUGUGUUUCACUACUCCUCCCAUUCCUUUUCCAACUUUAACAUAUAUGAUGCUCAGAUCAAAUCUCAUAAAAGUUAUUUUUGAGUUGCAUCACAUUAUUGAAUUAAGUCGACAAUAUCAAAGUCAGACUGUAUCUCGAAAGUAAAAUUGUUUAGGUUUGGUUGUGACUGUGAUUGUAAUUAAUGGUAUGUAAUUUCUGAUCACCUUCUAAUGGUCAGAAAAUCAUAAAAUUUGAUUAAAAUGCUUGUUUGUGUAGGUUUGGUUGUGACUGUGAUUGUAAUUAAAUGCUAUGUAAUCUCUGAUCACCUUCUAAUGAAUCUAAAUCAUAAAAUUUGAAUAAAAUGCUUGCAAA